AACGAUGUCGUUAGGAAGCUAUUUUAAAUAGUCAUUCUCACAAUUGCUCCUUAUAAUUCGAUGACAAUAACAAUUUAAUUACAAAUAAAAAAAAAAAAAAGUAAAUUCUUGUUGAGAACAAAUUAUUGUUUUCAUACUGUCAUUUUUUUUUAAAACCCUACAUUGUAAAAAGAGUGUUGUUAAGAAUGGACUCAAUUUAACACCGCGCAGUGUCAAAGUGAAAUAACGCCAGUGUAGGCGGUGUAAUUUGGCGGUGUUAAAUCAGUGUAAAAAAAAAAAUCCACGUAUAGCAAUUAGAAAAAAAAUGUAUUACAUAUAUAAAAAAACCAAAAUUUAAUGAAUAUUAUCGGGAGGAAAUUUCAAUUUUGUUUUGUACUCAUUCAAAUAAUUAUUUAUGUUAUACGUAAUUUAUUUAACAAUUACACAAUUUUACGCCCACCAUUUCAAUCACCAAUAAUUUAAUUAAUUAAUAAAAAUACUGUUUAACUGUAGGGGUCGAGUAAUUAAAAAAUUCACAAAGUCAAAUAUUUUAACUCCGGUAAAGAAUAUUUCCACUGGCGUGGCGGCGAUGUUAUUUUACCACCGCUUUCGGUGUUAAAAUUUAACACCGAAAAUUUUCACACCUAAAUCGCUUGGACUUACCCCGGUUUUUUACAGUAUAGUAAACAAAUGAAAGGGUAGAAAUAUGAUUUAAAUCUAUAAUAUUUUUCAAAUAAAACUUGAAAUGUAGAAUAAAAAAAAUAAAAAUAAUUUAAUGUCUACUGACAUGAGUAUCAAGAUAUAAAAUAUAAUUAUAUAAUUAUUGUGAUAUUAAAAUGAUUCGAUCGAGUUGUUAAGGUUGUUUAUUUUGUCGAGUCUCACAAAGCGUAAUUGUUAAUGAAUCGUAUACGAUCGAGUCAUUAUGUCAGAGAAACAUUCCAACAUGUCGUCGACAGUAAAUACAAACAUAUCAGUGAAAUAAUUGUACAAAAUUUAUAUGCACACCGGUGACUAGAGGUAUUUUAAGUGUAUAUAAAAACAUGAAAAAAAAACCCAUGGGAGAGAGGUCAUCGUAACCAAAGUACUAACAUCAGCAUCAGCAUCACAUGACUGUUUGUGAAAGCAACGCAAGUGUUGAUUUGCAAUUGUAUGAUAGAAAUGAUAGAAAGUGUUUCUCGGGAAUAAUAUCUGAACAAGAUGCAAUGGUUCAACUCGAAGCAGCUCUCGGUACGUCAAGUAAUGAAGUUGAAAACAACCCCGCAAGACCAGAUGAUCCACAGAAGUUGCAAGAACUUGAACCGAAUCGCAGCCAAAGAAAUGAAUAUCAAGAGCAAGGAAAAAUAUUUACUAAUGGACAUGUCCCGCUGGCCAAUGAGAAGAAUAAAACUAUCGAUAAAGCCGGUUAUGAUUCUGUAAAGGCGAAGCUGGAUGAUCCCGCGUUCCGGACUCUGAACUGUGAAUCAAAAGAAAAAAAAAAUUUUUUUCUUUGGUAUUCUCAGUAGAGUUUACCUACAGUUUCAACCCAUGUAACACAAAUAUUACUACGGGUAUCAGUCGAAGGCAUUAGUCAUCAUACAAAAUGUUCUAACCCCCUAGACUGAUAUACUCAAACCAUAGUAAUAUUUUUGGGUUGGAUUAUAAUAUAGGUCCGGCAAUGUUCUAGAGAUGAAUUGCUGGACACGGAAGUGGGGUCACACCUGCGUAGCCAAACUGUCAAACAGUCCUCAGUAGAGGCGCUGUUUUUUAGUGUUUAAGUUUGAGUCAAUAUAUAUCAUACUAUUCAAAUUACAUGUUGCUUAAAAAAUUUUUUUUAAUUCCAUAAAAUUAUAAAGUAAAAAUAUAAUUACAUAUUAAGGAAAUAAAUCAGUGAAUACA